UACGUAGGUGGCAAGCGUUGUCCGGAAUUAUUGGGCGUAAAGCGCGCGCAGGCGGUCCUUUAAGUCUGAUGUGAAAGCCCACGGCUCAACCGUGGAGGGUCAUUGGAAACUGGGGGGACUUGAGUGCAGAAGAGAAGAGUGGAAUUCCACGUGUAGCGGUGAAAUGCGUAGAGAUGUGGAGGAACACCAGUGGCGAAGGCGACUCUUUGGUCUGUAACUGACGCUGAGGCGCGAAAGCGUGGGGAGCAAACGGG
rnacentral:rRNA from 1 species